rnacentral:rRNA from 1 species
ACCAGGACGUUGAUAGGCUGGGUGUGGAAGUGCAGUAAUGCAUUAAGCUAACCAGUACUAAUUGCCCGUACGGCUUGUCCC